GGCCAGACUCCUACGGGAGGCAGCAGUGGGGAAUAUUGCACAAUGGGGGAAACCCCGAUGCAGCGACGCCGCGUGAGUGAAGAAGUAUUUCGGUAUGUAAAGCUCUAUCAGCAGGGAAGAAAAUGACGGUACCUGACUAAGAAGCCCCGGCUAACUACGUGCCAGCAGCCGCGGUAAUACGUAGGGGGCAAGCGUUAUCCGGAUUUACUGGGUGUAAAGGGAGCGUAGACGGCAUGGCAAGUCAGAUGUGAAAGCCCGGGGCUCAACCCCGGGACUGCAUUUGAAACUGUCAGGCUGGAGUGCAGGAGAGGUAAGUGGAAUUCCUAGUGUAGCGGUGAAAUGCGUAGAUAUUAGGAAGAACACCAGUGGCGAAGGCGGCUUACUGGACUGUAACUGACGUUGAGGCUCGAAAGCGUGGGGAGCAAACAGGAUUAGAUACCCCAGUA
rnacentral:rRNA from 1 species